CAUACAUUAUCAAGAGGUAGGUGCGCGAUAGAACAACUGAAGGGAAGAAGGAAGCGCGAAAAGGGGGUAGAAGGGAAGAGAUUUUCGAGGAGUGGCAGGGGAAUACACCCACACAAAAGGCUGAAGACCGAUGGGUUUAUCCCCCGGCGACUAGCAUAUCAAUAAGCGGAGSAWAAGAMACCAACARGGAWUACCUCAGUAACGGCGAGUGAAGCGGUAACAGCUCAAAUUUGAAAUCUGGCCUCACGGCCCGAGUUGUAAUUUGUAGAGGAUGCUUCGAGCAUGGUCCGGCCUAAGUUCCUUGGAACAGGACGUCAUAGAGGGUGAGAAUCCCGUAUGCGGCCGGGUGCCUACGCUCAUGUGAAGCUCCUUCGACGAGUCGAGUUGUUUGGGAAUGCAGCUCAAAAUGGGUGGUAAAUUUCAUCUAAAGCUAAAUAUUGGCCAGAGACCGAUAGCGCACAAGUAGAGUGAUCGAAAGAUGAAAAGCACUUUGGAAAGAGAGUUAAACAGUACGUGAAAUUGUUGAAAGGGAAGCGCUUGCGACCAGACUUGCGUGCGGCCGAUCAUCCGGUGUUCUCACCGGUGCACUCGGCCGUGCUCAGGCCAGCAUCGGUUUCGGCGGCUGGAUAAAGGCCCUAGGAAUGUGGCUCCUCUCGGGGAGUGUUAUAGCCUAGGGGUGCAAUGCAGCCCGCUGGGACCGAGGACCGCGCUUCGGCUAGGAUGCKGGCGUAAUGGUCGUAAGCGGCCCGUCUUGAAACACGGACCAAGGAGUCUAACAUCUAUGCGAGUGUUUGGGUGUCAAACCCAUACGCGUAAUGAAAGUGAACGGAGGUGAGAACCCUUAAGGGUGCAUCAUCGACCGAUCCKRAUGUCUUCGGAAGGAUUUGAGUAAGAGCAUAGCUGUUGGGACCCGAAAGAUGGUGAACUAUGCCUGAAUAGGGUGAAGCCAGAGGAAACUCUGGUGGAGGCUCGCAGCGGUUCUGACGUGCAAAUCGAUCGUCAAAUUUGGGUAUAGGGGGCGAAAGACUAAUCGAMCCAUCUAGUAGCUGGUUCCUGCCGAAUCUCCCUCCAAAAAAAAARCCGKCCUACUAGAUUGGUUCGCAUUAAGUCUUUCGCCUAAUACUAAAUCUGAACAAUGAUUUGCAAGGUCAGAAUUGCUCGAGCUUCCUCAAGUUUUCUCUGGCUUUCUUAUUCCGGGCUAAGGUACACUCUUGGGGGUCCACCGCCAUGCUCUACUAAAUCUUCAAGACUUCAGAUGGAUGAUGAUGCUUUGAGGUUCUUCAUCCUUCUUUUUAUAGCGUAUGGGUUUGAACUCACUACAUUCAGAGAUCUAGAUUCUAAAUGCGUUUCAGACGGGCUGACACUGAUAGUCACGACUGACUCAGGGGUGCAGGUCUAGCAUAUCGCAGUAGACAUCUGGGGACUUAUGUCUCACUCAAUGGCGGAAAGCAAGUACGUUGAAGUAGUAUGGCAGAAUGA
rnacentral:rRNA from 1 species